AAUAUUGCGCAGUGGGGGGAACCCUGAAGCAGCGACGCCGCGUGAGCGAUCAAGGACUUCGGGUUGUAAAGCACUGUUGGCUGGGAAGAAAAGUCACUGGAUAAUACCCGGCUCUGCUGACGGUACCUUCAGAACAUGCACCGGCUAACUACGUGCCAUCAGCAGCGGUAAUACGUAGGGUGCAAGCGUUAAUCGGAAUUACUGGGCGUAAAGCGUGCGCAGGCGGUUCGGCAAGAAGGAUGUGAAAUCCCGGGGCUUAACCUCGGAACUGCAUUCUUAACUGCCGGGCUAGAGUAUGUCAGAGGGGGGUAGAAUUCCACGUGUAGCAGUGAAAUGCGUAGAGAUGUGGAGGAAUACCGAUGGCGAAGGCAGCCCCCUGGGAUAAUACUGACGCUCAUGCACGAAAGCGUGGGGAGCAAACA
rnacentral:rRNA from 1 species